UACAGAGGUGGCAAGCGUUGCUCGGUAUCACUGGGCUUAAAGGGCGCGUAGGCGGCAAGGUACGGUUCGGGUGAAAUCCCUCGGCUCAACCGAGGAACUGCCCGGGCGACGGCCAUGCUAGACGGCAUCAGGGGAAGAUGGAACUCCCGGUGGAGCGGUGAAAUGCGUAGAUAUCGGGAGGAACGCCGGUGGCGAAAGCGAUCUUCUGGGGUGCCUGUGACGCUGAGGCGCGAAAGCUAGGGGAGCAAACGGG
rnacentral:rRNA from 1 species